rnacentral:rRNA from 1 species
CCUACGGGUGGGCAGCAGUGGGGAAUAUUGCACAAUGGGGGAAACCCUGAUGCAGCAACGCCGCGUGAGUGAAGAAGUAUCUCGGUAUGUAAAGCUCUAUCAGCAGGGAAGAAAAUGACGGUACCUGACUAAGAAGCCCCGGCUAACUACGUGCCAGCAGCCGCGGUAAGACGUAGGGGGCAAGCGUUAGCCGGAUUUACUGGGUGGAAAGGAAGCGUAGACGGUGUGGCAAGUCUGAAGUGAAAGCCCGGGGCUCAACCCCGGGACUGCUUUGGAAACUGUCAUGCUUGAGUGCUGGAGAGGGAAGCGGAAUUCCUAGUGUAGCGGUGAAAUGCGUAGAUAUUAGGAGGAACACCAGUGGCGAAGGCGGCUUACUGGACAGUAACUGACGUUGAGGCUCGAAAGCGUGGGGAGCAAACAGGAUUAGAUACCCUGGUAGUC